rnacentral:rRNA from 1 species
AGCGAACGCUGGCGGCAGGCCUAACACAUGCAAGUCGAACGAAGUCUUCGGACUUAGUGGCGGACGGGUGAGUAACACGUGGGAACGUACCUUUUGGUUCGGAACAACUCAGGGAAACUUGAGCUAAUACCGGAUGAGCCCUUAGGGGGAAAGAUUUAUCGCCGAAAGAGCGGCCCGCGUUAGAUUAGCUAGUUGGUGAGGUAAAGGCUCACCAAGGCUACGAUCUAUAGCUGGUCUGAGAGGAUGAUCAGCCACACUGGGACUGAGACACGGCCCAGACUCCUACGGGAGGCAGCAGUGGGGAAUCUUGCGCAAUGGGCGAAAGCCUGGCGCAGCCAUGCCGCGUGAAUGAUGAAGGUCUUAGGAUUGUAAAAUUCUUUUACCAGGGACGAUAAUGACGGUACCUGGAGAAAAAGCCCCGGCUAACUUCGUGCCAGCAGCCGCCUAACAC